GAGUCUUCGGACUGCGGAAGAGUGGCGAACGGGUGAGGAACACGUAAGAAUCUGCCCCUCGGUCGGGGACAACUCUUGGAAACGAGAGCUAAUACCCGAUACGCUGUGGAGUGAAAGAAUUUCGCCGAGGGAUGAUCUUGCGUCUGAUUAGCUAGUUGGUGUGGUAACUGCACACCAAGGCGACGAUCAGUAGCUGGUCUGAGAGGAUGGACAGCCACAUUGGAACUGAGACACGGUCCAAACUCCUACGGGAGGCAGCAGUGGGGAAUUUUCCGCAAUGGACGAAAGUCUGACGGAGCGACGCUGCGUGAAGGAUGACGGCCCGCGGGUUGUAAACUUCUUUUCUCGAAGAAGAAACAAAUGACGGUAUUCGAGGAAUAAGCAUCGGCUAACUCCGUGCCAGCAGCCGCGGUAAGACGGAGGAUGCAAGUGUUAUUCGGAAUGAUUGGGCGUAAAGAGUCUGUAGGCUGUAUAGAAAGUCUUUUGUUAAAUUCCUCGGCUCAACCGAGAUCAAGCAAAGGAAACUUCUAUACUUGAGGGAAGU
rnacentral:rRNA from 1 species